UGGGCUGGUCGAAAGACCCAGGUCCAUCUUUGGCGGGCCAGACGCUC
rnacentral:sRNA from 12 species